rnacentral:lncRNA from 1 species
CUGAGACUUGAGAUUCCAGGUACCAGGAUGAUCUUCAGGUGACUCGUGACCUCACGCUAGUCGUAGCAAUACAAACAAAUAUGGUAUAGGCAAAAUUAACAUCACACCAAACAUAAGAAUAAACUGAGUAAUAAUAAUCUAUGCGUUGCUACGAGAUUGUAGGACCAAGAUUCACUAAAUUUGGAGUUAUAGUUAUUUAGUUAUGAAUUUCUGAAGUUAUUAAGCACCUAGAACAGAUUAAUUCAAAUGAACAAUUUUGCUUCAAGUUUCAUGGCCAAACAGUGUUACUAGUUGAUAUACAAUAUUAAAAUAAAAUUAUUGCAACUGGAAUGACUCAAUUUGGAGUUAAAAUGAAUUACAUAUGAAUUAUACAAGUUUUAAGAUUUAUUUUUAUACUAAAAAUCAAUUUCUAAUAUUAAUUAUCUAGUUUCUCUGUUAUUUGGACUGCGCGCAGGAUUUCAGAAAAGUGCAGGGUCUAAUUCAAAAGACUCUCUAGGCUCAGGCUACAACUGAGGUGGAUUGCGGGUUCAAUAGUUUGAAGUGGAGGGUCUCUUUAAGAAAAUACACGGCCGAAGGGGUACGGAGUGCUAGCGGUCGUCCGAUCAGGCGCGGAUGGCCCAGAUUAGAUUGGCAUUGAAAUGAAGCGGUAUGCGAUCACGCCCCUCGGAUUGCAGAUCAACGCUUCGGAUUUAAAGUGGCGAGGGACAUUCCCGCACGCAGGAUCAAGAUCCCGCGGUCACGCUGGAUCCGAUCGGACGACCCAGAAUGAUCCCCCAAAGGGGGUAAGCGCGCUCCAAUCGUGGCCACCCGAUAAAGAUCGGACGGCCAGGAGCCGUUCUCCUUCCUCGAGCACCCCCAAAUCUCAACGACGCGCUCACCGCGGCGGAGCGCCAUGUCCAGAGCUCCCCAGCAAUACGCCCAGGCGUUAAAUUCUCGAUUCCCUAGCGCUACGCGUAGAGGAGGUCAAGGCGAAUCCGUUGGUGGGCUUAUUACCUUGGUAUGAUGCGGCGACGGUCUCCGCUCGCGCGAUGGUGCGGCACCACGGCCAAUCCCCGCGACGGCGACAAAAUCGCGCGCACCCCGGACGAGUUCUUUGCCCGCCAAUGGCUCCUACACCAUCAACGAGCGCGGGCGAACCAGAUGAUGGCCUCCAAUGGCAGAUGCCGGCAAGGUUCUAUGGUGGCGGCCGCGCUCUUCCCUUUUCCUACCUCUCUCUGCUCUCGUCGCUCCUCACAGUUAUGACGACCGCCCAGCUAGGAUGAUGAGGGGGGGCUCGCGGGGCCGAGGAAGUUAUAACUAGCAUCAAGUCCGCGAUGGGGAUUUGGCCGGAAUCGCGCGAAGCCCACGGCGGCGGAGUUGCCGCGAUUCUGUUGGGAUCCGAAGGGGGACGCUGAAGCUGACAGAGUGGGGUCCAUGCGUCGGUGAUACAAGCCAAUUUCGCGCGCGCGCUUACUCCAGUUGGAGCCACCGCCAUGUGGGACCCGCAGCCAGAGGCAGGGCGUGAUGGGUUACGCAAGCUGGCUGGCAAGCGGGCCCGCGGCGCAGCGUCCGACCACACGCGCGCGAUGCACCAGAAGCGGAGUAACGAUGACUGACGAGGUGGCCCCGCCUGCCAGUGAAGUGAGCGCGAGGGGAAAAGGGAGCCAGUGUCUGGGCCGGCUGGAUGGGCCACGCAGUAGAGAAGAUGAACUGGGCCAGAAGUGAGGUUGGACGGCCCAUGUAGGGUUUUAAUCCUUUUCUUUUUAUUUUCUUUUCCAUUCCAAUUAUUCAACUCAAUUCAAAAUUUGGUUUUGCAUUCUAGAUUUCAAAUAUCGAACAAAAGUCUACAUGAAUUAUACUUUUACUGUCUGAAUUAAUAUUAUUUAUUAUUGUUAUCUUAUAAUGUAUAUUCUUUUUAUUUUUCUUCUCUUUUCUCUUUUAUUUCCAAAUUCUAAAUUUUCCAACUUAAACUUGUCUCACAAAUUCGAAUACAAAUGUAAACUUAUAAGAAAACUUCAUGGAAUGCACAUUUAUGUAUCUAUUUUAUUUGUUAUUUACAUAAUUUAAUGCCAUUAGUUGAGUAUGUAGAGAAAAUCAAGGGAUCCCUGAAACAUCCACUUAUAAAUUUACUUAUUUAUUCAUUUUUUUUUCCUUCAAAUUUUGGGCUUUACAAAUCCUACCCCCCUUAACAGAAAUCUCGUCCUCGAGAUUUGUAAGAAAACGGAUACAAAAGGAUUGGUUUGUAGGUCGGUGCAUAGUUCUUAUUAUUUGGUCUAAAUAUGCAAAGUCUUUUUUUGAAGUUUUAGCAUCUGUAGAGGUGAUUAACAAGGCAUGGGCACAUGUAUAUGUAUAGCCACCUAAUGUGUAGAAUAAAAGAUGUCUUUAAAGCAUGGAUAGGCUUGGGUAGGAAAGAGUAGGGUAUUGUGGAUCUUGCUUUCUUUGGAGAUAUGGCUUGACUCUUAGUAUUCUUCAACGAGUUUGAUCUCCUUCUCAAGUCUUGGUGUCUUCAUCCGGGUUAGGGACAAGAGGUUAAGAUAGAUUUGUAGGCAACGACUUAGAAGGUAGAGUAGCUGGUUUAGUAGGUAGCUAUGAGUUGAUUGAGAUUAGUCAGAAUCUGGUUUGGUUGUUUGCUUCUAGAUUUGUUGGAAGGUUAUGUAACCUAUAAUAUAGGUCAAAUUGUUGUGUAUGGCCGAGUUGAUCUAAGUCACCAAUUUAGGCGUAAGUGGAUUAGGGUAUGGCCUUAUCUUUUGUACCAGUAUCGAGUAACUUACUCUAGAUUAGAUCAUAAUAGAUUAGAUAGAAUCUAGAUUAGGUUGGAUAUGACUAGAUUAGACUAGUUAAGAUCUAAAUAAGUUUUUUUUUGGAUUAGCUCAUGGUUGUUAUUCUAGAGUGGAAUAAAUAUGCUAAUUAGGACAGGAUGAAUCCAUAAGGAUAAGGUAGAAUCUUUUGAGAUCAGUUAGUUCUAUUUAGAAUAAGAUAAAAUCUUUUCGAGAUAAGAUGGAUCUAUGAGUGUAGGAAAGAAUCCUUCGAGAUGAGAUGGAUAUUGUUAGGCUAGAUACUUAAAUGAGGGAUAAUCUAGUUUAUCUAGUUAUUUUAUAAGUAUUUUUCCCUAUAUGUAUAUGCAGAUGUAAUUGUGGACAUUACUCCACAACCCAUCACACUCAAUCAAAGAUCCAAAUCAGACAAAUAUCAUAAGAACAAGCAUUCAAGCAUAUAAAAAAUAAUAGUUUUGUUUUUGUUCCUAAGAUUAGGUUUCCUAUUCCUAAAAGUCACUUUAGGUACAUGAUUUCAAUGUGUGAAAUCCACAUUUUUCUUUAGAAAGAAAAAGGUAAGAAUAAUCAGAGUAAAGCGGAAUUAGAUGAGAAAAGAUUAAGAUAAGUUUAGAAAAGAAUCAGAGUAGUAGAGGUAAGUAGAUAAUGGUUGUCCAAUUCUAUCUAGGUUUCGUCCUACAGUCAACAUUCCUCUGAUACCACUUCUGUAACACCCGGAUUUUAGGGGUCCAAAACCCGGGCGCUAACAAAAACACCAGGUAUGCUAGGACCAAGUCUCACACAUAUGAUGUAAAGUGGCACAGGAUCGAAUGUCACAUCUUUAUAUAUAACAGGAGUUCUAUACAAAAUAAAUAAUUACAUUAUAAGGAGACAACGGUCCAGCAACCCAAAGUUGACUGGGAGACGACGACCUAGACCACUCACGAACUCAUCGCAGCAUCUUCCAUGAGCAUCAUCCUGCAGUACCUGGUCUUGACCUGUGGUGUAUGUGAGACAGCAAGAGUGAGCUCACAUACGUUCAUCGCUCAACAAGUUGUGGGGAAUAAUGUGCAUGAACUCGCCAAAGGUGGGAGCUCACGUGAAGUGUAAGGCUUACCAAAGAGGAUGGUUAGAGCUGAGCAUUGCUUUUAAAGUUGGUCAAAAUUUUAUUAGCAAUUACUAAGUAUAAGUAAAUACCAACCCAAUUAAAUAGUAGAACAAAAGUAACAAACUCACCUGCGAUGCAAUGCAUAUGACAAAUUGAGUUUAAGUUCCAUAAUUUAAUCAUGUGAGUGUCCGAGCCGCUCAUGACCGUGAGCACGGCUAGUAUACCAGUUUUACACUCUGCAGAGGUUGCGCAUCUUUACCCACAAGUCAUGUUACCCAUCUGCCAAGGGAUCGCGACUUCCCAUACACCUCUACCGAGGAGGCGAGGCAGGAUAACACUACGAGGCCUUUACAAAGUUCCACUAGCUUCAGAAAACCCGCUACAGUUUAUAGGAAGCUCCAAUGCAGGAAUCCCUUGCAGGACCGCCAUCACAGCAAAAUCCUCCCGAGGGCCUCCCCAGGAAUCCCUUGCAGGACCGCCAUCACAGCAAAAUCCUCCCGAGGGCCUUCCCAGGAAUCCCUUGCAGGACCGCCAUCACAGCAAAAUCCUCCCGAGGGCCUCCCUACACUGACCACUCCCCUACUGCCCUUGCCCCUUUCGGGUAAGGUAGUCUUCCACUAGCUUUCCUAAUUAAUCGGCCAAGGGCGUCCCAUUAAACCCUUGUGGUAGCACUGUUUUCCCGGGUGGUUCUCCAUGUUCCAAUUAACAUAAUGAUCUUAUCAUGAACAGUGAUAAUAAACAGAUAAUAAAAGUGUGAUCAUGAAUAAUGUAUCUUCAUACCCAAAACCACAUAAAGCACUAGCAAGUACUACCCAAAAAGUUCAGUGGUAAACAAGGUAUAAAGAUAGACAAACUAGGGUAACCUAUUGGGUCCCAUCAAAUUAACCUAUGCAGAUCAUUAUGAUUAAUUAGAACAUGAGUGGGUAAAAAGAAGUGAUCAAGGGCACAACUUGCCUGAGACUUGAGAUUCCAGGUACCAGGAUGAUCUUCAGGUGACUCGUGACCUCACGCUAGUCGUAGCAAUACAAACAAAUAUGGUAUAGGCAAAAUUAACAUCACACCAAACAUAAGAAUAAACUGAGUAAUAAUAAUCUAUGCGUUGCUACGAGAUUGUAGGACCAAGAUUCACUAAAUUUGGAGUUAUAGUUAUUUAGUUAUUAAUUUCUGAAGUUAUUAAGCACCUAGAACAGAUUAAUUCAAAUGAACAAUUUUGCUUCAAGUUUCAUGGCCAAACAGUGUUACUAGUUGAUAUACAAUAUUAAAAUAAAAUUAUUGCAACUGGAAUGACUCAAUUUGGAGUUAAAAUGGAUUACAUAUGAAUUAUACAAGUUUUAAGAUUUAUUUUUAUACUAAAAAUCAAUUUCUAAUAUUAAUUAUCUAGUUUCUCUGUUAUUUGGACUGCGCGCAGGAUUUCAGAAAAGUGCAGGGUCUAAUUCAAAAGACUCUCUAGGCUCAGGCUACAACUGAGGUGGAUUGCGGGUUCAAUAGUUUGAAGUGGAGGGUCUCUUUAAGAAAAUACACGGCCGAAGGGGUACGGAGUGCUAGCGGUCGUCCGAUCAGGCGCGGAUGGCCCAGAUUAGAUUGGCAUUGAAAUGAAGCGGUAUGCGAUCACGCCCCUCGGAUUGCAGAUCAACGCUUCGGAUUUAAAGUGGCGAGGGACAUUCCCGCACGCAGGAUCAAGAUCCCGCGGUCACGCUGGAUCCGAUCGGACGACCCAGAAUGAUCCCCCAAAGGGGGUAAGCGCGCUCCAAUCGUGGCCACCCGAUAAAGAUCGGACGGCCAGGAGCCGUUCUCCUUCCUCGAGCACCCCCAAAUCUCAACGACGCGCUCACCGCGGCGGAGCGCCAUGUCCAGAGCUCCCCAGCAAUACGCCCAGGCGUUAAAUUCUCGAUUCCCUAGCGCUACGCGUAGAGGAGGUCAAGGCGAAUCCGUUGGUGGGCUUAUUACCUUGGUAUGAUGCGGCGAUGGUCUCCGCUCGCGCGAUGGUGCGGCACCACGGCCAAUCCCCGCGACGGCGACAAAAUCGCGCGCACCCCGGACGAGUUCUUUGCCCGCCAAUGGCUCCUACACCAUCAACGAGCGCGGGCGAACCAGAUGAUGGCCUCCAAUGGCAGAUGCCGGCAAGGUUCUAUGGUGGCGGCCGCGCUCUUCCCUUUUCCUACCUCUCUCUGCUCUCGUCGCUCCUCACAGUUAUGACGACCGCCCAGCUAGGAUGAUGAGGGGGGGCUCGCGGGGCCGAGGAAGUUAUAACUAGCAUCAAGUCCGCGAUGGGGAUUUGGCCGGAAUCGCGCGAAGCCCACGGCGGCGGAGUUGCCGCGAUUCUGUUGGGAUCCGAAGGGGGACGCUGAAGCUGACAGAGUGGGGUCCAUGCGUCGGUGAUACAAGCCAAUUUCGCGCGCGCGCUUACUCCAGUUGGAGCCACCGCCAUGUGGGACCCGCAGCCAGAGGCAGGGCGUGAUGGGUUACGCAAGCUGGCUGGCAAGCGGGCCCGCGGCGCAGCGUCCGACCACACGCGCGCGAUGCACCAGAAGCGGAGUAACGAUGACUGACGAGGUGGCCCCGCCUGCCAGUGAAGUGAGCGCGAGGGGAAAAGGGAGCCAGUGUCUGGGCCGGCUGGAUGGGCCACGCAGUAGAGAAGAUGAACUGGGCCAGAAGUGAGGUUGGACGGCCCAUGUAGGGUUUUAAUCCUUUUCUUUUUAUUUUCUUUUCCAUUCCAAUUAUUCAACUCAAUUCAAAAUUUGGUUUUGCAUUCCAGAUUUCAAAUAUCGAACAAAAGUCUACAUGAAUUAUACUUUUACUGUCUGAAUUAAUAUUAUUUAUUAUUGUUAUCUUAUAAUGUAUAUUCUUUUUAUUUUUCUUCUCUUUUCUCUUUUAUUUCCAAAUUCUAAAUUUUCCAACUUAAACUUGUCUCACAAAUUCGAAUACAAAUGUAAACUUAUAAGAAAACUUCAUGGAAUGCACAUUUAUGUAUCUAUUUUAUUUGUUAUUUACAUAAUUUAAUGCCAUUAGUUGAGUAUGUAGAGAAAAUCAAGGGAUCCCUGAAACAUCCACUUAUAAAUUUACUUAUUUAUUCAUUUUUUUUUUCCUUCAAAUUUUGGGCUUUACAGCUCCUGAUGUAGUUUUAAGAGAAUCAAAGAAAUAUCACUCACCGAUUGAAAAGGUCAACCCUAUGCUCCAUCUCUUUCUCCGCCAAUCCAAACAUCUAUUGCAACGCAUAAAACGAAUGAUCUCAGAAACACUUCAAUUAAUAGUAAAAAACUGAAUGCAAUUGUUUACAUGUAGAAGAAACAACCAGAGGAAAAAGAUAGAAUAAAGCAUCCCAAGUAACAUAAGUUUGAAACUGAAUAUCAGAAAACUUUGGAGAUCAAUGGUCAUGAUAAUUGCUACAAAUCCUGCUUGUUCUUAUACAUCACCACUUGAAACCAUCAUCUGAAAAAAAAAUCCUGAGUGCCGCAGAAAUAAUGUUUUCUCUCUUGAAGAAUUGGACUAGUAUAAGCUGCGCAGUUAUUUGGUCAUAGUGCAAUGCUACUCGAUGGAAAGGCAGAUAUGAAAAAAGUAAAACAUUCUCUACUUUGUUCCCCUUUGAAAAACACCGAAAUCUACACGCAGUGCAUUAGUAUCAGGGUUUCCCAUGGAAGUCGUGCAAAAUUCACCUCCCCAAGCAUAAUUUAUUCCUUAUAAAAAAAUCAUGGUACAAAAACCAUAGGCUUGCUUUCCUCUUAGUUUAUUGCAGGGUGAGUGGGUGACAAAUCUAGGAAGCACAAGGUGAAGAAUAGAUCUUAAGUAUAAAUUUACUUGCUCAAACCAACUAAUUUGGCAUGUUUUUUUUUUUUCGUUCGAGCAAAAUAAGAAAAUCCUCGUUUCCUCAGAUCAACGUGUACAUCAAUGAUAUAAUUUUUACUCGGGCAAGUAAACUGCAGAGAAGGCGCACACCUGCUCCUUCUGCAUAUUGGUCGGCGCAGCACCAGCGGCCAUUGCUGCAGCUCACUUCAAGAAAGCGACAGAGCGCAAGCAAUCAGGGGAUCGGGUCAAUCUAAGAUCCAAGAAAAACGAGAGCCCAGAAGCCAACGAAGAUGAAAUAAGAACAGGGGCACGGUGGCGCUGACGGAUGCCGGCGGCGGAUCGCGGAACGGUAAGCACGACGACUGCAGAUCGAAGCGGACGCGAUGAGCUUUUGCGCGAAGAACUGCAAUGUGGCCAUGUGGGCCCGCAGUCCUUCACGGCCCAUAAAA